rnacentral:rRNA from 1 species
CUCGAGCUUAUCUGCUUUGGAUGCAUACGAGUUGAGCUAAUCUGUCUCCCCAAACUGUGGCGUGUGGUGUACGAUACAUGGUACGGUGAAACCCCCCCUGUGUCUUUUGGCUACGUACCUCAGCUUCAACACCUAAGCUUUGCCUCUCCUGCUCUGGAUGGGCAGGCACCAUUCACGUUAAGCGAGUGUAUUUCUAGUAGCAACAGAAAUCUGUCGAAACUGCAUAAUUUUCGAACUCAGAUGAUUUGGGUUAAACCUGAAAAUCCAGAGCAGCUCUCUCCUAUAUUCGGCAAAUUGAGAGAUGUGGAUCUUUGCAAUAUUUUUGCUGAGUGCGAUCUGAGUUGGAUUCUUUUUAUCCUUGAAGCCGCACCUUCCCUGGAGAAGUUUUAUUCAUCUCGGCAUCCAUGUGAACUCAACAAGUCUGAGGACAGUGCUGAGAGGACCAACUUGGUAUGGCAAACAUCCAAUUUCAAGCACUUGAACUUAAAGCUGCUGGUGAUACAAGGGUUUGAGGAGGAAGACAUGGUAAUGAAUUAUAUAAGGCUCGUCAUGGAACGAGCUGUGGGUUUGAAGAGAAUUGAGUUGCAUGAUAAAAGGCAAUGCAGUAAGUGUAAUGCUUUAAAUUUGGGGUCAAAAUUUCCCUCGGAUGAAGCCAGCAAGGAAUGGAUUAGGCAGCAACUCACUUAUAGUUUCUCCUCAUCCAUAGAGAUAGUUUUCAAGGAAUAG